UACGAAGGGGGCUAGCGUUGCUCGGAAUCACUGGGCGUAAAGCGCACGUAGGCGGAUUGCUAAGUCAGGGGUGAAAUCCUGGAGCUCAACUCCAGAACUGCCUUUGAUACUGGCGACCUUGAGUCCGGGAGAGGUGAGUGGAACUGCGAGUGUAGAGGUGAAAUUCGUAGAUAUUCGCAAGAACACCAGUGGCGAAGGCGGCUCACUGGCCCGGUACUGACGCUGAGGUGCGAAAGCGUGGGGAGCAAACAGGGAUUAGAAACCCU
rnacentral:rRNA from 1 species